rnacentral:rRNA from 2 species
GUCGAGCGGAUCGAUGGGAGCUUGCUCCCUGAGAUCAGCGGCGGACGGGUGAGUAACACGUGGGUAACCUGCCUGUAAGACUGGGAUAACUCCGGGAAACCGGGGCUAAUACCGGAUAACACCUACCCCCGCAUGGGGGAAGGUUGAAAGGUGGCUUCGGCUAUCACUUACAGAUGGACCCGCGGCGCAUUAGCUAGUUGGUGAGGUAAUGGCUCACCAAGGCGACGAUGCGUAGCCGACCUGAGAGGGUGAUCGGCCACACUGGGACUGAGACACGGCCCAGACUCCUACGGGAGGCAGCAGUAGGGAAUCUUCCGCAAUGGACGAAAGUCUGACGGAGCAACGCCGCGUGAGUGAAGAAGGUUUUCGGAUCGUAAAACUCUGUUGUUAGGGAAGAACAAGUGCCGUUCGAAUAGGGCGGCGCCUUGACGGUACCUAACCAGAAAGCCACGGCUAACUACGUGCCAGCAGCCGCGGUAAUACGUAGGUGGCAAGCGUUGUCCGGAAUUAUUGGGCGUAAAGCGCGCGCAGGUGGUUUCUUAAGUCUGAUGUGAAAGCCCACGGCUCAACCGUGGAGGGUCAUUGGAAACUGGGGAACUUGAGUGCAGAAGAGGAAAGUGGAAUUCCAAGUGUAGCGGUGAAAUGCGUAGAUAUUUGGAGGAACACCAGUGGCGAAGGCGA